rnacentral:tRNA from 1 species
GCAGUCGUGGCCGAGUGGUUAAGGCGAUCCACUAGAAAUCCAUUGGGGUCUCCCCGCACAGGUUCGAAUCCUGUUGGCUGCG